GGUGCCGUAGCCAAGUGGUAAGGUCAGAAGCUGCAACCUUCUUAUUCGCUGGUUCGAGUCCAGUCGGCACCUCCA
rnacentral:tRNA from 1 species